CACCAAGUACUGCACAAGAUCAUACUGAGGAUGAUACUGGGAAUGAAGUUCCAGAAGAGCACAUGGUAUCUCCUGAGUUACAAAGUCAAACCCCUGGUGAUCUACCCACAGAGACAGAAACCUUACAUUCUGAUGCUAUGAUAAAAGAGUUGCCUCAGAAUGCUCCAAAUAGUAUGCAAACUGACAUAGCUGAAGAUCCAAAACAGAGUCACAAUCCAGGAGAUAAUGCCGUAUUUGAAGCAGUCACUGAAGCACCAAGUACUGCACAAGAUCAUACUGAGGAUGAUACUGGUAAUAAAGUUCCAGAAGAGCACAUGGUAUCUCUUGAGUUACAAAGUCAAACCCCUGGUGAUCCACCCACAGAGACAGAAACCUUACAUUCUGAUGCUAUAGUAAAAGAGUUGCCUCAUAAUGCUCCAGAUAAUAUGCAAACUGAUAUAGCGGAAGAUCCAAAACAGAGUCACAAUCCAGGAGAUGCUGUAUUUGAAGCAGUCACUGAAGCACCAAGUACUGCACAAGAUCAUACUGAGGAUGAUACUGGGAAUGAAGUUCCAGAAGAGCACAUGGUAUCUCCUGAGUUACAAAGUCAAACCCCUGGUGAUCUACCCACAGAGACAGAAACCUUACAUUCUGAUGCUAUAAUGAAAGAGUUGCCUCAGAUUGCUCCAGAUAAUAUGCAAGUUGAUAUAGCUGAACAUCCAAAUCAGAGUCACAAUUCAGGAGAUAAUGCCGUAUUUGAAGCAGUC
rnacentral:lncRNA from 1 species